rnacentral:rRNA from 1 species
UACGGAGGGAGCUAGCGUUGUUCGGAAUUACUGGGCGUAAAGCGCGCGUAGGCGGUUUUUCAAGUCAGUGGUGAAAGCCCGGGGCUCAACCCCGGAAUAGCCUUUGAAACUGGAAAACUAGAAUCUUGGAGAGGUCAGUGGAAUUCCGAGUGUAGAGGUGAAAUUCGUAGAUAUUCGGAAGAACACCAGUGGCGAAGGCGGCGGCCUGGACAGAACCUGACGCUGAGGCACGAAAGCUGGGGGAGCGAACAGG